rnacentral:rRNA from 1 species
UGGGGAAUAUUGGACAAUGGGCGCAAGCCUGAUCCAGCCAUGCCGCGUGGGUGAUGAAGGCCCUAGGGUUGUAAAGCCCUUUCAGCGGGGAAGAUAAUGACGGUACCCGCAGAAGAAGCCCCGGCUAACUUCGUGCCAGCAGCCGCGGUAAUACGAAGGGGGCUAGCGUUGCUCGGAAUUACUGGGCGUAAAGCGCACGUAGGCGGAUUGUUAAGUCGGGGGUGAAAUCCUGGAGCUCAACUCCAGAACUGCCUUCGAUACUGGCGAUCUCGAGUUCGGGAGAGGUGAGUGGAACUGCGAGUGUAGAGGUGAAAUUCGUAGAUAUUCGCAAGAACACCAGUGGCGAAGGCGGCUCACUGGCCCGAUACUGACGCUGAGGUGCGAAAGCGUGGGGAGCAAACA